ensembl:lncRNA
AGCCGGGGCCCUCUAAUAAGACUGACCCCUCGCUGUCAUGUACCGGCCAGAUAUUCACCGCGUUGCCUGCUUGAGAGGCUGCUGGAGAAAGGAUAUAAAUGUCACUCACAGCACCGCUUGAAAAUCCCAGUCUAUGUCUGCUUACAUUCCUGAUUUUCCAAAACACUCUACCUCAUCGCAAAUGUCACAUUACUGAAGCGAACACAGUUUUAUCCUGACCGUUAAAGACUACAGCUGAUCAUAAAAAUAUCUAAACCACAGGAGUAAUUCUGCUAAUGAGCAUAUGGCAGCGGCAUCUGAUAAUGAAGAGAAAGGUCAUUAAAUGAGACUUCGACAUCUGAUACAUAAAGAACGAGGCUGAAUGGAAUAGAUUUUACAGUGCUUGACGAUCAAGGUGAUGAUCUUGUAUCUCGGCGCAGUGGCCCUCGGGGAAGUCGACUGUAAUUGGACGAACUCAUCACCUAAUGUGCCGGCAGCGAGGAGCUCCGCCCUUCAUCAUCACAAUGACCUUCAUCUGCCUCCUCGUCUUCACAACAAGACACAGAUCUCAGAAACAGUCAAAGCACCAAACCUAAAGCACAAAAGGGAAAGGAAGCCAACAGAAGAAUCGACUUGCAUGACUUGCAAAGACAGACAGCAAAAUCCAAAAGUGUGGACGGCAGUCGACUCCUACACGCAGAGUGAAGCUGAUGCUGUCGGUGAUAAUCGAGGUGGCUGGAAUCCCGUCCAACAUUCAGGUGUCCUCACGCAUCCCCUGCAAACCGGGAGCAGGUUAUGGGAAUAUGUGUUCUGGGAAAUGAGGAACGGCGCUGCGUUGGUGGUCUCGAGGGGCGAUGGCCGGCUGGCCUCGGGCUGAAUACUCACACUGCUGUGACGGUGACCCUCCUCACCUCACGUUCAGCUCAUUUAAAUGCAAACAGUCGCAGAGCUACAUUUUAUAUCACAGGUGCAUGUAUGCAGCAAAAU